rnacentral:lncRNA from 1 species
GGGGGGGGUGGGAGGGGGUGGGGGUGGAGUUUGGGGGUGGGGGACUUGCUUCCUGGUGUUGGAGGAGGAAGGAGCUUGUUCAGCCCAGUCUGGAGUGGCAUGCUCUUCUUGGUUCAGCUUGAAGAUUCAGGCCCAGUUGCUUCUGAAGAUAAGGAAGCCAAGAGUCAAGGAGGUUAUGUGACUUAUCAACGAUCACAGAGACAGGAAAGAAAAAAAAAGGCAAGAACAUGGUCAUCUGUACUCAAGGAGCUCACAUUUUAAUGAGGGAAACCACAUGCAAAACAUACAAAAAUGAGUUAAACACAGAGAUAAGAAACUAAGGCAGACAGAGGACAAGUGACAUCCCCUAGAUCACAGAGCUGAUGUCUGAGACAAGAUUCAAACUCUGAUAUUCCUGACUCCAAAUCUAAUACUCUAUAUACUACAACACUGAGCUAUGUAGCAUAAACAUUAUUAGCCUCAGAUCAAAGAAAACAAAUCAGAAUAGCCUUUGGAUCAAUAACAAAAAGAUUUUUAAAUGCUUUUUUCAUACUUAAAGGUUUUUAAAUUGAUAAACACUUUUUGUAAUAAA